CCCAGCAGAGGAUGGAGCAACUGACUCUGGUGGAGGCCAUCUUGGGUUAUCCUCUUCCCACUGGAUUUGAGGGUGCCGCAAUUUGCCCCCACUCAGCAACUGCCAGAGGCUGUUGUGUGACCUCUUGCCUCUCAGAGAGGUGGUCUUCUUGGCGGUUCCCCCUGAGCCAGCUCCCGGCUGGCCACAGGUGUCCUCAGUUGAACUGGGAGGCAGCAGAAGCUCUGGCACAGCAAGAGUCUGGCUGGUCAGACUGAGCAACUCGGAAGGCGGACUCUGUUGACACUUGAGGAGGGCCUCGUUUCCCUUCCCUGCUCCUGGAGCACUUCUUAACGGAGGCCUGUUUCACACCAGGAGGGGCUUCUGCUGUGGCCAUGGAGUCUCUGUUGACUGAGAUGUACAGCCUCAAUUCCCCCAAAGCCCCCACUGCCCAGUCCAUGUCGGAGAGGAGAGAGAUGGUGUCUGGGCUACGCUGGGAGAGAAGAGACAACUGCAAAGCCAAGAGGGGAGACCACGCCUACCAGAAAAAGCAGCAGCAGCAGCUGGAAGCCGGAGCGCGUGAGGAUCCCUUGGUGCAAGGAGCGGAAUAUGUGGAGCAGAGCAGCCAGGAGGUGAAGAGGCCUCUGCAGCAGGAAGCAAAAGGAGAGAAGUGCCGCCUUCAGGCAAGUGGGCAAUUCUGAAGCCAGGGCAGAGACCUCAUUCGGCAAGAGGAAGGGCUGGAGUCUAAUGGCUGGAGGCUGGACUGGGAGUCAGAGUCAGUCCACGAAGAGAUUUAUUGGGGCUGCUUCUACUUCUUCCCUUGGCUCAGGAUGUGCAGGAGAGACAAAAGGGUGCAGCCGUGACAAGUUGACCCCAGGCAGGGGGCGCUUCCUGUGAUGUUUUCCCUGCUGCCAGGACCCCGGUCUCACCCCAUCACUACCUCCCCCCAAAUAUGCCCCCUAUCUUUAGCCAGAUCCCGAAGGAUGCAACACAAGCCUCUAUUUGCCCUGCCCAGCGCUGGCCGCCCAGAUAUAUCCCAGUUGCUGUUCUUUGGAAGGACUGAAAUCUGCAACACCCUGGAAAUUAAAAGCUUCUUCCUGAAA